rnacentral:rRNA from 1 species
UACAGAGGGCAGCCAAGUCGGGAGGCGGAGCUAAUCCCUUAAAGCCAUUCUCAGUUCGGAUUGUAGGCUGAAACUCGCCUACAUGAAGCUGGAGUUACUAGUAAUCGCAGAUCAGAAUGCUGCGGUGAAUGCGUUCCCGGGUCUUGUACACACCGCCCGUCACACCACGGAAGUUGGGGGCGCCCGAAGCCACUUAGCUAACCCUUUUGGGAAGCGAGUGUCGAAGGUGAAAUCAAUAACUGGGGUGAAGUCGUAACAAGGUAAC